rnacentral:rRNA from 1 species
CGUGUAGGCGGGAAGGUAAGUCAGAUGUGAAAUUCCAGGGCUCAACUCUGGCGCUGCAUCUGAAACUAUCUUUCUUGAGUGAUGGAGAGGAAAGUGGAAUUCCUAGUGUAGCGGUGAAAUGCGUAGAUAUUAGGAGGAACACCAGUGGCGAAGGCGACUUUCUGGACAUUAACUGACGCUGAGGCGCGAAAGCGUGGGGAGCAAACAGGAUUAGAUACCCUGGUAGUCCACGCUGUAAACGAUGGAUACUAGGUGUAGGGGGUAUCGACCCCCCCCUGUGCCGGAGUUAACACAAUAAGUAUCCCACCUGGGGAGUACGGCCGCAAGGUUGAA